GUCGUAACAAGGUCUCCGUUGGUGAACCAGCGGAGGGAUCAUUACCGAGUUUUCAACUCCCUAACCCUUCUGUGAACCUACCUAUCGUUGCUUCGGCGGACUCGCCCCAGCCCGGACGCGGACUGGACCAGCGGCCCGCCGGGGACCUCAAACUCUUGUAUUCCAGCAUCUUCUGAAUACGCCGCAAGGCAAAACAAAUGAAUCAAAACUUUCAACAACGGAUCUCUUGGCUCUGGCAUCGAUGAAGAACGCAGCGAAACGCGAUAAGUAAUGUGAAUUGCAGAAUCCAGUGAAUCAUCGAGUCUUUGAACGCACAUUGCGCCCGCCAGCAUUCUGGCGGGCAUGCCUGUUCGAGCGUCAUUUCAACCCUCGACCUCCCCUUGGGGAGGUCGGCGUUGGGGACCGGCAGCACACCGCCGGCCCUGAAAUGGAGUGGCGGCCCGUCCGCGGCGACCUCUGCGCAGUAAUACAGCUCGCACCGGAACCCCGACGCGGCCACGCCGUAAAACACCCAACUUCUGAACGUUGACCUCGAAUCAGGUAGGACUACCCGCUGAACUUAAGCAUAUCA
rnacentral:rRNA from 1 species